UCAGUGACUUGCCCCGUUAAUUGACUAAGAUGGCACAAGCGCUUCGGUCCUAGAUUAUUCGUCGGAGUGGAACGAAAUCGCUAUUUCGUUGGCAAGUGUGUGCAUCGAUGGGGAAAUGCCUAGAGCAAGCCUAGCAUACUCGCGAUUCGGAACAGAAGUUUCUCCAGAGAUCAAGCCUUCUAUACUAACGUACUGUGUAUAACUCAGCGAAGGGGAAUUCAGUUGACGGCGGAUACGGUGGAAAUGGCAGGCGUGGUGGGAAUUGCUUGGGCAACGGGCACACUUUUAGGAGACGACUGCAAACCCGUAGUUGAAUUUAUGGUAGCUCGCUGAUAGUUACUUCGACUACAAUUCAUGAACAGGAGACUACCGUCCGGUGAACGGUCUUCCCGACAGACCGCUAGAAUUUGACACUGUCGGGGGCGACAACGGCAUAAAACCUAGGACCAUCGGUAUUACUAUGUUGUCAUACUCGUCGCGGUCGUUGCCAACACUGGCAGAACCAAGGCCGUAAGUGCCACUGACGGACAAACCGGCAGAGAAGAAAGAACAUUGUAA